AUGCAAAGGAAACCACUCAACAAAAGGGUAAUCUCAGGAUGCUUGGAGGAGCCCACACAGGAGAGAAGAGAAAGAGAGGACGGAAGGAUAGAAGAGUGUUUUGCAGUGCUGCCGGCAAUGACUCAUAGGUCAGAUGUGUGUGUGUGUGUGUGUGUGGCUGAAUCGAAGUGAGCUUUAAUGAGGAAAAAAGAAAAUGUAAAGACAAAAGGUAAUAGAGAAAGAGUGCAACACAAGUGUGAAGGGACAGCAACGAAACAAAUUAGAUUAUUGAGUAACGUUUGACCGAGCAGAACUCUCUGUCAUGUUGCUAGAGUGUUGUAGAUGGUUGCCAGGGUGUUGUUGUGCUGUUGCUAGGAUGUACUGAGAUGUUGUUACAGUUAUUGCUAGGUAGUUGGUACAAUGAUCUUAGUGUUUUUAAUGCAUUGUUAUGGUUGCUAAAAUACACUGAAAAAAAUGAAUGUAGGGUUUACUUUUGUCACGGUGUUGCCUACUGUGUCGGAGCGAAGGAGGCGUAGGAGAAUUCAACACGAACACUCUUUAUUUACCACAUAGGAACUAGGAACACACACGUAGGAAUGGGGAUCGACGUUUAAGGCAGCACGCUAGACAUGGAAACACACAGGGCUUAAAUCAUGGGACUAAACAAGAAACAGACAAGGGGAUAAAUAGGGCACAGCUGAAACAUAUAGAACUAAAUGGGGACAGGAACAGGAUAGACCAAAUAUGGGCAUAGAGGAACACAAGGGGAACAAAACACGGAACAAAGUCUGACAACUUUGAAACUUUGGAAAUUUACAAAUAAUCACAAAGAAACAGCAAGUAACACAUUGAAUUAAACAUGACAUUUUGAAGUAGAAAAACCGUAAUAGUAUUUUCUUUAAAAACCUGCUGUGGCCACUACUAAUAUAGAAAAGAAAAGAAAAAAAGACCUUUAGGGUGGUUGCAAUGAGCAAAAGUGUUCUGAGUGUGUUUUAACAUGUUGCUAGGGUGUUUUGGGUUGUGUUACCGAUGUUUGUUUCAAUGUGGUCAUUCAGGUAUUCUGCAUACAUUACUAUUGCUAUUUAUUAUUUCUGUAGCACGAAUGCUGCACGCUGAAAUUUAAUAUGGUAACACUUUAUUUUACAGCAUCUUUGUUACACGUGUUACAUGUAUUAUCAUUAUAAUAACAAUAAAUUAUGCAUAAUUACAUGCA
ensembl:lncRNA